UGAACAGCUGCAGAGAGUGGAGACCCGGCAAAGCAAACAAAUGAAUACUGAAAAGGCUCCGCAAAGGAGGUGUAAGGAUCCAGGACUCUAGUGUCUGCCAGAAGCUUCAGCCACCUUCACAGGUUAGAGCUCGCCGCCCAUUGCGGAGGUGAAGACCGGAUGGGAGCUGCUGGAUUGACCUUGAUGUGCCAUGUCCUUGUGUGGAUGAAGGACCUACAUCUCAGGGAUGGCCAGCAGCAGAUGUAACACGUGUCCAGGAAUGGGCUAAAUAACUUACAUUGAGAGGUAAGUAAAAUCGUGGCCACAUGUAGACAUCACAGGAAUUGACCCAAAGUCCUUCAGCACAAGCCCCUCUCACUCACUGUCAACAAAUCCAGCUCCACCCACUAGACAACACCCCAUUCCAGAGCCCCAGAAUCCAGGAGCCCUGAUUCUCAGACCCGGGCCUCACAUCACAAGGCCAAACCUCUUCCCAUUAUGGGCACUGUAGAAGGGACCAUUGGCAAAAAAACCCCUUCUUCAUUCCCCCUGUCAGAGACUGCGGCCACGGGUGACAAGUGAAUGAGCUGAGAUCUCCCCUGUGGGAAUCUGAGGGGCUGCACAUUUGGGGUUUCACAGGGAUGGCCUCUGGCAGCCAUUGACAGAGUGUUCCUGGGAGGAGAUUUUCCGUCUCUAACAAACGGUUUCUGUUCCCCCAGAUCUCAGCUGCUCAGCAGAAUGUGGGAGAGCCGAGUGCUGAUGGGCUAGAGGGGUCCCAGAAGUCACUGUGCAGCAGGGGCAGGGUCUGCAGUCACCAUGGGCCACA